UACAGAGGUCUCAAGCGUUGUUCGGAUUCAUUGGGCGUAAAGGGCGUGUAGGUGGCGCCGUAAGUCGGGUGUGAAAUUUCGGAGCUUAACUCCGAAACUGCAUUCGAUACUGCGGUGCUUGAGGACUGGAGAGGAGACUGGAAUUUACGGUGUAGCGGUGAAAUGCGUAGAUAUCGUAAGGAAGACCAGUGGCGAAGGCGGGUCUCUGGACAGUUCCUGACACUGAGGCACGAAGGCCAGGGGAGCAAACGGG
rnacentral:rRNA from 1 species